GGGUUUGGGUCCCUGGAGCUACAGACGUCUGUGGAAAAGGGUCAGCGGAUUGUGUCCACCCAUGAAGUCUGGCAUUCUCCCAACAAAACAAGCACAUUGUUUAGUGGACAUGUGAAGACGUUCAUGAAAUGCAAGCAGGAGGCAUCAGGCUAUCGGGGCCACGUCAAAACACAGGCUGAUGGGGAGAAAUAAAAGGAGGACAUUCAGCUAAACCCAGACUAAAUGUGUGUCCACAAAGCCAUGAGGAGCUGUAACAAACUCUCUGUGGGCCGGUUUAGCAUGAGGAGUAACAUGUGAGCUGAUCACAGUUCAUGUUCACGACCAGUUUGAUGUGAGACAAUUCUGUUUGAUCCCAGAUGAGGCGGCUUUGGUGCAGCGGCCGUUGUCUUUACAUCAGGGGCCGGCGAUCGGGUUCCCCCCCUCGGGCCACAUCUUGGUGACUGACCAACUAAACAUGUGAUGUGUGUGUCCGGGCCGAAGAAGACGACGUCACACAGUUUGUAUGUUACGCACACGACACGCUACAAGGUAAAACCAGCGUCAGAUGCAAAGGCGUCGCGUUAAAUGGCCGUAACGCGGCUGUUGUCCCGCCCCACGCGCUGAUUGGUCUCGUUCCAUCUGCUGUAGCCAAUCACAGCACACAUACGUUGACCGUCUGAAACCAUCAAACGGGACAAGAAGAGGUUCCGUCUUAAAAAGGAAAGUCCAAGUGGUGAACAAUAAGCGGCGGGUGUUGCCCGAUUACACCACGCUGCCCUCUGGCUACUAAUGGGGAUCAAGGGUUUGAUGCGCGGCUACAACAUCCCUUUAGUUUGGUAGUGAGGACCAUCGAAUCCAGCAAAGACUCUUUAUCAAGAAUAUUUCACAGCGUUUUGAUAACAUGGUGCACAUUUAUUCAUGUUGGCAGCCUUUAUAUACGUUGUAGAGGGCUUACCAGAGUCUCUGUGAUGAUGUUUUACUACCACAGGACAAAGACAACCUACUCAUCAGAGACCAUUUAAUGAAUGCCAGCAGUAAUGAUAUAGAAGUUCAAAAUGUUUUUACCAAAUACGUACAUCAUAGAAAUCUCAGCUGUAUGUAUUUAGUGCAGAAUGUAUUUAUUCAGGGUAAAGUUAGCCGCACUAUUAGUUUAAACACUAACUAUCUCAUUGUGUCGCUCAGACACAGAAUGUGGUCACGCAUGUGGAGGAAUGUGACUCUGUUAGAAUCCAUGUAUGAAUCCUCUCCCCGUGUGAGGAGAGUCAUUGUGGCUGAUGCAAACAGACAUUGGAUUAAUGCACUGUGUGAGAUCAACGUGUUAAGAGGUCAGAUCC
ensembl:lncRNA